rnacentral:rRNA from 1 species
GACGAACGCUGGCGGCGUGCUUAACACAUGCAAGUCGAAACGGAAAGGCCCUGCUUUUGUGGGGUGCUCGAGUGGCGAACGGGUGAGUAACACGUGAGUAACCUGCCCUUGACUUUGGGAUAACUUCAGGAAACUGGGGCUAAUACCGGAUAGGAGCUCCUGCUGCAUGGUGGGGGUUGGAAAGUUUCGGCGGUUGGGGAUGGACUCGCGGCUUAUCAGCUUGUUGGUGGGGUAGUGGCUUACCAAGGCUUUGACGGGUAGCCGGCCUGAGAGGGUGACCGGCCACAUUGGGACUGAGAUACGGCCCAGACUCCUACGGGAGGCAGCAGUGGGGAAUAUUGCACAAUGGGCGGAAGCCUGAUGCAGCAACGCCGCGUGCGGGAUGACGGCCUUCGGGUUGUAAACCGCUUUCGCCUGUGACGAAGCGUGAGUGACGGUAAUGGGUAAAGAAGCACCGGCUAACUACGUG